GUAAAGNAUUUCUGCGCCCAAUUUUAAUCGUCCGUCUUAUUUGAAAUUUUUUUUAAAAAAAUUAAAAACAUAAGUCACGAGUAAAGUACUAUUCAUGUUUUAUCAUCUCAUAACAACAAAAAUACUAAUUAUAGAAGUUUUUCAAAUAAGACGGACAAUUAAAGUUGGACGCGGAAACUCAUGGUUGCACUUAUA
rfam:Oryza meridionalis cultivar OR44 (W2112) chromosome 1, whole genome shotgun sequence.